GAUGAACGCUAGCGGCAGGCCUAAUACAUGCAAGUCGAACGCUCUAGCAAUAGGGAGUGGCGCACGGGUGAGUAACGCGUAGGAAUCUACCCAUUAGCCUGGGAUAACAGCGGGAAACUGCUGCUAAUACCGGAUACGCCCCUUCGGGGGGAAAGGUUUACCUACUAAUGGAUGAGCCUGCGUUAGAUUAGCUAGUUGGUGAGGUAAUGGCUCACCAAGGCUCCGAUCUAUAGCCGGUCUGAGAGGACGAUCGGCCACACUGGGACUGAGACACGGCCCAGACUCCUACGGGAGGCAGCAGUGGGGAAUAUUGGGCAAUGGGCGCAAGCCUGACCCAGCCAUGCCGCGUGAGUGAUGAAGGCCUUAGGGUUGUAAAGCUCUUUUAGUAGUGAAGAUGAUGACAGUAGCUACAGAAAAAGCCCCGGCUAACUUCGUGCCAGCCGCCGCCGUAAAAC
rnacentral:rRNA from 1 species